rnacentral:lncRNA from 10 species
AAUUUUAAUUUGCCAACAAAUCCUAAUGUGGACUUUGUCACGUUGUGAAAUAAAGUGAUUUUUUGGUAUGGAAAUAUGUGUUAAGACAGACUGUUAGUCUUUGCACUUUAACAACUAGCUGAUACACUUACGUCACAUGGAUGAAAACAUACACAAGUGCACUGUUGUUGGAUAAGGACUCCUGGGUGGUUAGAAGAAUGUGCAGAUCUAACUACUCCCAUUAAGACCAUUGAUUAAAAUGAAAAAUGCUUAUAAAGGUGGAGAUCUCUCAGUUUUAGUCUUAUUGCGUGCCAGAAGCACUAAGGAAUUGCUGCUAAAUAUAAGACAAAUGGACUUGAGGAAAUCACUGAUGACUAACUUGAAACUCUGCCUCCUGAGAUCACACAGAUGAUGAAGAUCAUGUCUCCAAGUCUUUUCUGCCGUUGCCAGUAUUCUCUCCCAAUCUCCUGUGGGCAACUUCUUCGGGAAAACACUCAUGCAAUUUCAUAAGGACAAGCGAAAAGAUGAAGAAGCUGGAUCUUGGAACUAGGCUUUGAUCACAGAGCGGAGCUGAGAUGAAAGUCCAUCCACUCAUUCAACAAAUAAUUGAGUACUUACAAAAAUUUCUGCUGUAUGGAGCUUAUAUAGUAGUGAAUAUCAAUUCUUAUUUUAUGGAUUAUAAAACAGAACUUUUUGCAACAAUUUUACACUACCCUAGGGGUACCUAUGAGUCUUCAUGCCUCAAGUAAUUGUCCUGUCCAUGUGACUAUGGAAGCCCUGAAAUCUUUGAAACCCCAGAUGACCCAUUUCACCAGACGCUUGGACAUUCUCCGUCGAGUUUGGAUUUAUAGUGGGUACCCAGAUUUAGGUCAAGGACAUAAAAUCUGAACCACUUUAGGCACUGCUCAUAAGGAGUAAAUUCCUAGUGAAAAAGCAAUGUCCCUCAGGAAUGAUUGCUAUAGCAGGCUAAAAGGUAGAUUUAUAAAUGUUUAUAAAAAGCAGAUUGGAUUUAGCAGAGGUAGCAGUGAUGACCAGGAGCAAUAGGAGGAAAUGUUCUUAAUAGUGCUGUUUGGUGGCAUCUUCUUUUUAUACAAAGAAGUCUUGCAAGCAUUUCUACUUGAAUGACUAAUUUGGAGUAAUUUUUAGUUUCUGUAUUUUUAUUAGUUAAUAGGAUCUAGGAAUAUAAUAACCUGGUGAGAAUUUCUUCGUGAAUGGCAAUCAAAUUUGUCUUAUUCAUGAAACUCAUAAAUAAGCUAUAAUCCAGCAUUUUAUAACUAGGGAAAAUAAAACUGGGGUCCUGCUGUUUAAGAGGCUAAGGCAAUUUAACAGAACACUGGGGGAUUUAUAGUAGAUUUAUGAUGAAGAUACAUUCUAACUGGAAGCUUAAUUGUGAUUUAAAUUAUAGGUCAAGCUGAGCAAUGUGUUUUCUUUUUAGGGGGAAAUCUUUAGAGAGUUAGAGUGUGCUUGUUUAAAGAGGAAACAGACCAAAUGAGAAAACAGAUUGCAUUUUCUGUUUUUCUUUUAAAAUUUCAAGCUGCUUUAAGUCAAAUUGCCCCUGAGUUCCUGAUGAUGGCUGUGGUGAAAUUGCCUUGUUUUACUUUCUUGCCUUCUUUUCCAGAGCAGUUAUUUUACCUGAAAAUAACAAAAAGAUAUAGGCAGCAUAUCAGCCAGAAAACUAAUAUGGAAACCAGAGAUAAAGUAUACUCAACCUGCCUAGAAUUGUGACAUCCUAUAAUUUUAGGCUGAGUUGUAUAAAAUUAGCAAGUAAUAUGGAUGAAAGGGCCUUUGAAAAAUUUUUGCCACUCAUUUUGCAAAUGGGAAAAUUGAGGCUUCUAGUGGUUUUCCUAAAUUUUUUAUCUCAAGUACUUUAAGGUCUCAUGAGGAAAUAAAAUUUAUGUACAAAUAAUUUUAAUUAAAAGUAUAAAAAGUUGUUUCCCUGAAAAAUAAAACUUAAAACAGAUAACAAAAGGUUGAUUCUGUAAGGAGGAUUUCUAUUGGGAAAAGGACAGUUAGAUUUGACAGCCCAGAUGCUUACUCUCUAACAUUUCCCUACCCCUUGGCAGAAUCCUUCAAUAAUUAACACCAGGACAACCACAUAGACUUCAGCCAUGGGUGUGUCAGGGGCAUUUGAACCAGAGCAACUCCAUCUUGAAUAGGGUCUGGGCAAAGUGAGGCUGAGACCCACUGGGCUGCAUUCCCAGGAGGUUAGGCAUUCUUAGUUACAGGAUGAGAUAGGAGGUUGGCACAAGAUACAGGUCACAAAGACCUUACUGAUAAAAUAAUAUGGUACAGAAGCUGGCCAAAACCCACCAAAACCAAGAUGGUGACGAAAGUAACCUCUGGUAGUCUUCACUGCUCAUUAUGUGCUAAUUAUAAUGCAUUAGCAUGCUAAAAGACACUCCUACCAGUGCCAUGACAGUUUACAAAUGCCAUAGCAAUGUCAGGAAGUUAUACUAUAUGGUCUAAAAAGAGGAGGAACUCUCAGUUCUGGGAAUUGCCCACCUCUUUCCUGGAAAACUCAGGAAUAAUACACCCCUUGUUUAGCAUAUAAUCAAAUAACUAUAAGUAUAAUCAGUCAAGCAGCCUAUGCCACUGCUCUGUCUAUGGAGUAGCCAUUCUUCUAUUCCUUUACUUUCCUAAUAAACUUGCUUUCACUUUACUCUGUGGACUCACCCCAAAUUCUUUCUUGCAUGAGGUCCAAGAACCCUCACUUAAAGUCUUGAUCAGGACCCUUUUCUGGUAACAUCUUCCUGGUGACCACAAUGAGAUUAAACUAAGGAGACUCCCUACCCAAAAGAAAUAGAUUAGAUCACCAAUUGUAUGACUUUGGGUAAGUGAUAGGAACCAUUUUACCUGGUUAAAGGAUGGAAUUGGGUUAGAGGCCCAACUUAGGAGAGUUAGAGCCUCUCCUAAGACAGAGAGCUUAAAGGCCCCUCUUAAUAAAAGGCAAGGACGCUUGAUGGAACUUAGGUUCAAGGCCCAAACUAGGAAGGUUAGAGUCCUUCCUAAGAUUAAGGGGGUUAGAAGCUCCUCUCAGUAAAGUCCUUCUUGGUUAAAAAUGGAUUUCACAUUAUGGGAUAUUAACCAUUAUUCUCUUUGUAUUAAUCUGCCUUGCACUGUUUGCUGAUGUCUGUGGGUGACAGGAUUAGGUGUAUAUAGGAUCACUGGAUAUGGGGAGCAUUUUCUCCCUAAAGGGGAAAUUUGAGAGCUGAUGAGACAAUUGGCCACCUGAACUUUAGAUUCAGUGUUGCUGCAAUGGAUCGGUCUUGUCUGGCCUCCCUGAGCUCCUCAUUUUCCUCACCCUGCUGCAGGCAAUGCUUUUCUCCCUUUCUUUCUUUCCUUUCUCUUUUCUAUCUUUUCUGUUACUCAGGGCAACUGUCUACGGUUUCAGUUUGCCCAGAAACCACAUGUGGAAACUCCUGGUCAGAAGAUCAUUCCACACCAAUUUGAGUGGAUCAAAGAUGAAAAGGCCCAACUAGAAUCAUGUUUGAGCCUUCCCAGUUUGAUACUGGGUGCUAAGCAGAGUGGCUAAUGUCUAUGUUUUGUCACAUUUAUUUUGCUCUGGCUGGUUUGGAAGAUGUUAAUUGGGUUACCCCAUGCAAUCUCUUGGGUGACAUCUUGCAAAAUUGAGAGGCUUUUGCCUAUGGUUUCAUGAAAUGGAAAAAGGUGAUUUUCCUUUGUGUUGUGGUUUGGCCCCUAGGGCUAUGGUGCCACAAGACAGGUCACUAGGGCUGCUCAGGGAAAGGGAACCCAGAAGCCUGGCAUGCCAGCAAAAGGGUAAGAAUUUCUUACCAUUCAGACUUCUGGCCUCUCUGUGCAAACGAGUUAUAGGAAUGGUAAACAUCCCUCUUUAUUCCUGUGUAAAGUUUUAAUUAAUAGGAAAAAGAAUUUUCCCAUUAAGUUAGUCUUAAGCUGUAGUGAAUUUGCUGUACUUUGUGCUAUAAAUUUGUCUUUCCAGAUUGUUCUGUCAGAAGGAGGGUUACCUUAGGAUAGAAUACAGGCUUAAGCCCCCAUUUGGUGGUUAAUACUGAGUAUCAAAUUGAUUGGAUUGAAGGAUGCAAAGUAUUGUUCCUGGGUGUGUCUGUGAGGGUGCUGCCAAAGGAGAUUAACAUUUGAGUUGGUGGACUGGGAGAGGCUGACCCACCCUCAAUCUGGAUGGGUACCAUCUAUUCAGCUGCCAGCUUGGCUAGGAUAAAAGCAGGCAGAGAAAUGUGGAAAGACUAAACUGGCUGAGUCUUCUGGCCUCCAUGUUUCUCCCAUGCUGGAUGCUUCCUGGCCUUGAACAUCAGACUCCAAGUUCUUUAGUUUAGGAUUCUUGGACUUAAACCAAUGAUUUGCCAGUGGCUCUUGGGUCUUCAGCUACAGACUGAAGGCUGCACUAUUAGCUUCCCUACUUUUCAGGUUUUAGGACUGGGACUGGCUUCCUGGCCUCUCAGCUUGCAGAUGGCCUAUUGUGGGACUUCACCUUGUAAUCAUGUGAGACAAUUCUCCUAAUAAAUUUCCCAUUCAUUUAUUCAUCUAUCUGCUAGUUCUGUCCCUUCAGAGAACCCUGACUAAUACACCCUAUAAGACUGCUGUUCAAGACAGCCCAUCAAACUGGUCACUUACAAACUUUGCUUCAGAUCCCUGAAACAAAACAAAACAAAACAAAAACAAAACUGAAGUUCCCCUCUUGUCUUGUUUUAUGUUCUUGGGAGCUUGACCUUAUAACCAUGUGGCAGUACUUCCUCUUUGUCUCUGCCAUUCAGAGAACAGGAACUUUGGGGUUCAUAUCAUAGUUAGCCCUAAAAAUUAUAUUGAGCAGUUAAAAGGCUUUGCAAGCUCAAAAUUGGCUGCUCUAGACUCCUUCUGGGAAGGGCAAUGGAGACUGCCCAGUGCCGUAGAACAACUUCUGACUUCCUUUCUUGAAUUUUCCUUUUUCUGAGUACCUGGGAGGUUACCUUUGGUAAAGUUCAAAAGCUACAAGUAUUUGCUGUUUUGCCUGGCUAGAGUCUGAUAAUGAGAUUUUUUUUUUUUAAAAGAAUGCUAUGGUUAAAAGUCAGCUUAAUUAAAAGUGGAUAUUCAAGCUCUAACAGCCUGGGACUCCUUGGGAAAAACAGGAGGCACUACAGACCCUGUUUGAGGAAAAACCUCUGCUUUCUUCAUGAAAACCCAGAAAUUGAAAUCAGAUAGAUCCCUCUCAAAAUCUAAGGCUCUCCUCUGUUUUGCACUGUGAUGUCUGACAGUAUUGACUUUUAGGGGUAUCAGAAAUUACUUUGCAUUAUGAGAGAGCUUUGGUGUGUAAUAACUAGGUAGGAAAUAUACUUUUGGGGAUGGCUAAUGGCAGUUAUAGGGAGAUACUUGGCAUUUUGCAUGUUUGGAUUAGAGAAUCAUGUUCUUGGCCACCUAGAAAGUAUGAAAAUGUCCCCAUUCCCCACUGAGAGAUGAGACUCCUAUGGGAGAUGGGUUGAUUCCCUCUUUUUUAAAAUUUAACUUUAAGUUCUGGGAUACAUGUGCAGGAUGUGCAGGUUUGUUACAUAGGUAAGCAUAUGCCAUGGAGGUUUGCUGCACCUAUCAACCUAUCAUCUAGGUAUUAAACCCCACAUGCAUUAGCUAUUUAUCCUGAUGCCCUCCCCGACAGGCCCCAGUGUGUGUUGUUCCCCUCCCUGUAUUCAUGUGUUCUCAUUGUUCAGCUCCCACUUAUAAGUGAGAACAUGUGGUGGUUGGUUUUCUGUUCCUGUGUUAGUUUGCUGAGGAUAAUGGCUUCCAGCUUCAGCCAUGUCCCUGCAAAGGACAUUAUCUCAUUCCUGAUUCCCUCUUUUCUUUGGGGAUCCAGGAUCUAAUAUAAAAAUGAGACCCUUAAUUUUGGGGCUCUGCUUUGCCUUCCAGCUGUGCCUGCUUAUUAGGCCCUGGAAACUGCAUGCUUUCCCAGUCCUGUUCCUCCAAGGGCUCCACCCUAAAGCCAGCAAUCCAAUUAAGAAACUUAAUGGAUUGUAAGCAAAUGGAAAAUCUUCCAAGUACUGGAUUUUCUGUCUGUCUGCAUAUUUACAUGUGUUGUGUGUGUGGUGUUUAUAUAUAAAAGAGCUCUGAUUAAUUGGUUUAAAGAUAAUAGGCAAUUAAAUCAAAUAUUAUCAGAAAAAUAAAAACAAAUGCCUUUUACUUCACGUGACUUUAAUAAUCUUUAGGAAUUAGAGACAGUUUUAAAGAUUAUUGGUAAAAUAAAGACAUUUGGUCUAAAUUGCGCCAGUCAGAUUUAGGUUUGCCAAAUGCUUUAAUAUCAUAAAGUGCUUUUUUAACUUGAUAAUUGUUCAACUUACCUGCUUUGGAGCCAUUAGAUUCCAGGUAAGGCAUGGGAACAUGUGGAGUUAGCCAUGCCCCCGGCUAUGCUGAAAAAGGACCUUAUCUGGACUUAUGUCUAGUGUCUUAGGCUCCACACCUGAUAGAUAAUUAAAAUCCUUACUUACCAGAUUUUUCACCAAAAAUAAAAGUUGCUCAGUUAGCAUUGUAACGUUUAAUUGAGUCUACUGAAUAAGCAGUUUUACAUACAAGGUGUGUAAGGACAGUGACGUGUUUUUGGUAAAAAAUUAUAAGAAGGCAUGGGAAUACGGAUUUUUUUGGCCUAGUUUAGAGGCUUAAAAACUUUUUUCAAGCUAGAUAGAAAAAAGCUGAAGGUUUAAACAAGUUGUGGAAGGUUUGUGAACAAUUAAUCUUAUAAAAGAAAUUCUGUGUGUGAACAUAUUAGCUAAAAUUAAAGGAGGUAUUAUUCAGUUUUUUUCAUAAAUUGAACAUUGGAAUAAAAGCACAACAGGGUUUUCUUAGAGCAGUGAUCUACUCUUUAAGAAAAAAUUGUAAAGGGUUAUAAAAGGUUUAUGAGAAUCUUACCUUAUGAUCUAACUGAUUAAGAUUGGAUAGAUUAGUCUAUAAGGUUUUUUUUUUAAGAAUUAGGUUUGGCAUCAAUACUGCAUUAAUGCAAAGGUGAAAUUUGGCUUUCUCUGUUGAACAAGGUUUUCAUGUUAUAUUAAAAAAUACGAAAAUGUUUUUGUUUGCCUUUUAAAUAAACUA